GACGUAGGAUGCAAGCGUUGUCCGGAUUUAUUGGGCGUAAAGAGUUCGUAGGUGGUUUGUUAAGUCUGAUGUUAAAGACCGGGGCUCAACUUCGGGACUGCAUUGGAUACUGGCAGACUUGAGUGUGGUAGAGGCAAUCGGAAUUCCAGGUGUAGCGGUGAAAUGCGUAGAUAUCUGGAAGAACACCGGUGGCGCAAGCGGAUUGCUGGCCAUAACUGACACUGAGGAACGAAAGCUAGGGGAGCAAACGGG
rnacentral:rRNA from 1 species